rnacentral:rRNA from 1 species
CCUACGGGAGGCAGCAGUAGGGAAUUUUCCGCAAUGGGCGAAAGCCUGACGGAGCAAUACCGCGUGAGGGAUGACGGCCUGUGGGUUGUAAACCUCUUUUCUCAAGGAAGAAGUUCUGACGGUACUUGAGGAAUAAGCAUCGGCUAACUCUGUGCCAGCAGCCGCGGUAAUACAGAGGAUGCAAGCGUUAUCCGGAAUCACUGGGCAUAAAGCGUCUGUAGGUUGUUUAGUAAGUCUGCUGUUAAAGACUGGGGCUUAACCCCAGAAAAGCAGUGGAAACUGCUAGACUCGAGUGUGGUAGAGGUAGAGGGAAUUCCUAGUGUAGCGGUGAAAUGCGUAGAUAUUAGGAAGAACACCAAUGGCGAAGGCACUCUACUGGGCCAUAACUGACACUGAGAGACGACAGCUAGGGGAGCAAACGGGAUUAGAUACCCCGGUAGUCCUAGCCGUAAACGAUGGAUACUAGAUGUUGCACGUAUUAACCCGUGCAGUAUCGUAGCUAAGGCGUUAAGUAUCCCGCCUGGGAAGUACGCUCGCAAGAGUGAAACUUAAAGGAAUUGACGG